rnacentral:rRNA from 1 species
UGGGGAAUAUUGGACAAUGGGGGCAACCCUGAUCCAGCCAUGCCGCGUGAGUGAUGAAGGCCUUCGGGUUGUAAAGCUCUUUUGGCGGGGACGAUGAUGACGGUACCCGCAGAAUAAGCCCCGGCUAACUUCGUGCCAGCAGCCGCGGUAAGACGAAGGGGGCUAGCGUUGUUCGGAAUUACUGGGCGUAAAGCGAGUGUAGGCGGUUGCCGUAGUCAGGUGUGAAAGCCUUGAGCUCAACUCAAGAAAUGCACUUGAUACUGGGUGACUAGAGGACCGGAGAGGAUAGUGGAAUUCCCAGUGUAGUGGUGAAAUACGUAGAGAUUGGGAAGAACACCAGUGGCGAAGGCGGCUAUCUGGACGGUUACUGACGCUAAGACUCGAAAGCGUGGGGAGCAAACAGGAUUAGAUACCCUGGUAGUCCACGCCGUAAACGAUGGGUGCUAGACGUUGGCGAGCUUGCUCGUCAGUGUCGCAGCUAACGCGUUAAGCACCCCGCCUGGGGAGUACGGCCGCAAGGUUGAAAACUUAAAUGAAUUGACGGGGGUCAUAGCUGUUUCCU